GAAAAAAGGGUAUGCUUGCUUUCCAGGUUUUGAUUUGUUUCUUUGGUACACUCUUUGAUGCAAUGUGACUUACCCUUCCUGGUCUAGCUUGGGGGUUUUUGUGAGAACUGUUAUUCAACGUAUGUAAAGCUUUUGUAGAUAAAAAGUUCUAUAUACACUCUAUUGGGGCAGUUACAGCCUGCACCUUCAAUGCUGUAAUAGUCAUUAGUGCAGAUUGCACUUCAGUACAAAGAAGAAUGGACCCACAUAGGGAGAAGGAUACACGCCCUCUGCACAGCACAGAACUUAGCUAACAAGCUUGGAGCCCAAGGGAGGAAGUAUGGCAGGGAUAAGCUUGGGAUGCACUAGAGCCACAGAAGUCUACUUUGAUCCUUACCGUGCCCUUGAAAUUUCUAGUGCCCAGCCUGCUACUUGACUUAUUAUUAUUGAUCAUAAUCAUAACUAGUACAGAAUCUUAGAGUAGUGAUAUUUGUCUGCUUCAGGUCUAGGCUGAAGAUGCUGAUAUUAAAAAAAUCUUUAAACUCUGGACACUGUUUAGGAGAAAGGGAGAGCGAUUUCUGUGGUUUUUAUAAUUAGCCAAGGGGUCUUUAGAUGAGUGAGGUUCUCUGCUGAAUCAACAUAGCACCUAUAAACCAUACAUGGAGAGCUAAACCACAUGUUGGCAAAUAAUUAAGUAGCUUCUUCCAAAAUGAAAAAAAAAGAACCUGUUUUGAUUUUGCUCUUGAAAAUCAAGAUGGGAUGAAGGCGCAGAGGCCAAAUAAAUUGAAAUCUGGAAUUAAGCAGAUGUACAAAAGUUUAAAAAAAAAUCACAACGUACACACACUUCUGAUUCUUUAGCUUUAGAAUCAGGGAGAGUGAAUAAAAAGAUAAGAUAUACAAGAGAAAGCAAAAACGCUAGGAAGCAAUUUGAGGUUAGAAAAAGGAGCUGUGAGGAAUGAAGUGAAGAGAGCAUGAGUCCGUAUGACUUGCAAAGUGCAGCUACAAAAUAUCAGAAUAUUUAUCAAAAAGAAAUAAUCAGUUAUCCCUACAAUUAUAUUUAAAAGAAAGUAUGUUUUCUAGUAAAGCUGUAGAAGUCUACUAGGAGGCUGGCAUUUUGGAAGGAAGUGAAUGUGCCUAUGAUCGCUUCAGAAGACCUGUUAGUGAAGAAGGAAGUCACGGAAUGCAAGACUCUUUCAUAACACUGAACUCAUUUUUUGUUAACCCACUCCAGGUACCAUCUCAUGGAUAACUUUGUUCCAGGCAAGUUUUAAAAUAUUCACUGUUUGAGAAGAGGCAAAAUCUGACUUGACUGAGUGGAAAUAAAAGCCAAAGACAUCCAGCUUUGAUCGAGGGAACCUCAGAAGUGUUCUUCAGAAAUGCACAAUUUUAUGAUCAGCUAUCACUUAAACUAACCUUCAAUCAUGAAAAGCCUGUUUAAUUUUUAGAGCUUCUUUUUCAGUUCUUUACCUGGAAGCAGGUUAUUGGGGAGGCAUUAACUGUCUAAGUGAGAAGAACCGCAGCACAAUCCUUAAAAUUGACAAGACUAACCUCUUUGCAGCCAGGACAGUCUUUUUGUUAUGUGUCUGUACAGUGCCUAGAACAAUGGGUCCCUGGUACAUAAC